rnacentral:rRNA from 1 species
CAGCCGCCGCGGUAAUACGUAGGUCCCGAGCGUUGUCCGGAUUUAUUGGGCGUAAAGCGAGCGCAGGCGGUUAGAUAAGUCUGAAGUUAAAGGCUGUGGCUUAACCAUAGUACGCUUUGGAAACUGUUUAACUUGAGUGCAGAAGGGGAGAGUGGAAUUCCAUGUGUAGCGGUGAAAUGCGUAGAUAUAUGGAGGAACACCGGUGGUGAAAGCGGCUCUCUGGUCUGUAACUGACGCUGAGGCUCGAAAGCGUGGGGAGCAAACAGGAUUAGAUAACCCGCGUAGUCCCUGUCUCUUAUAC